rnacentral:rRNA from 1 species
AACGUACGCUGGCGGCACGCCUAACACAUGCAAGUCGAACGAAGUAGCAAUACUUAGUGGCAGACGGGUGAGUAACAUGUAGGUAUCUGCCCUUUGGCCUGGAAUAACACGAGGAAACUUGUGCUAAUACCGGAUAAGUCUUUACGGAGAAAGCUUUAUGCACCAUUGGAUGAGCCUGCACUUGAUUAGUUUGUUGGUGGGGUAAUGGCCUACCAAGACUGUGAUCAAUAGCUGAUUUGAGAGGAUGAUCAGCCACAUUGGGACUGAGACACGGCCCAAACCCCUACGGGAGGCAGCAGUGGGGAAUCUUGCACAAUGGAGGAAACUCUGAUGCAGCGAUGCCACGUGAGUGAAGAAGGCCUUUGGGUUGUAAAGCUCUUUCGUCGGGGAAGAAAAUGACUGUACCCGAAUAAGAAGGUCCGGCUAACUUCGUGCCAGCAGCCGCGGUAAUACGAAGGGACCUAGCGUAGUUCGGAAUUACUGGGCUUAAAGAGUUCGUAGGUGGUUGAAAAAGUUGGUGGUGAAAUCCCAGAGCUUAACUCUGGAACUGCCAUCAAAACUUUUCAGCUAGAGUAUGAUAGAGGAAAGCAGAAUUUCUAGUGUAGAGGUGAAAUUCGUAGAUAUUAGAAAGAAUACCAAUUGCGAAGGCAGCUUUCUGGAUCAUUACUGACACUGAGGAACGAAAGCAUGGGUAGCGAAGAGGAUUAGAUACCCUCGUAGUCCAUGCCGUAAACGAUGUGUGUUAGACGUUGGAAAUUUAUUUUCAGUGUCGCAGCGAAAGCGAUAAACACACCGCCUGGGGAGUACGACCGCAAGGUUA